GAAGUGCCUUCGGGAGCGCAGUGACAGGUGGUGCAUGGCUGUCGUCAGCUCGUGUCGUGAGAUGUUGGGUUAAGUCCCGCAACGAGCGCAACCCACGUCUUUAGUUGCCAGCAUUUAGUUGGGCACUCUAGAGAGACCGCCGGUGAUAAACCGGAGGAAGGUGUGGAUGACGUCAAGUCAUCAUGCCCCUUACAUCCUGGGCUACACACGUACUACAAUGCUACGGACAAAGGGCAGCAAACUCGCGAGAGCUAGCAAAUCCCAUAAACCGUGGCUCAGUUCAGAUCGUAGGCUGCAACUCGCCUACGUGAAGGAGGAAUCGCUAGUAAUCGCAGGUCAGCAUACUGCGGUGAAUACGUUCCCGGGUCUUGUACACAC
rnacentral:rRNA from 1 species